UUGCCUCAGUAACGGCGAGUGAAGCGGCAACAGCUCAAAUUUGAAAUCUGGCUCCUUUCAGGUGUCCGAGUUGUAAUUUGUAGAGGAUGCUUCGGCUUACGCCCCGGUCUAAGUUCCUUGGAACAGGACGUCACAGAGGGUGAGAAUCCCGUUUGUGGCCGGCGGCUUCCGCCAUGUGAAGCUCCUUCGACGAGUCGAGUUGUUUGAGAAUGCAGCUCUAAAUGGGAGGUAUAUUUCUUCUAAAGCUAAAUACCGGCCAGAGACCGAUAGCGCACAAGUAGAGUGAUCGAAAGAUGAAAAGCACUUUGGAAAGAGAGUUAAAAAGUACGUGAAAUUGUUGAAAGGGAAGCGCUUGCGACCAGACUUGCCCGCGGAUGCUCAGCCGGUCCUUCGGCCGGUGCACUCUUCCGCGGUCAGGCCAGCAUCAGUUCGGGCGGUCGGAUAAAGGCCUCGGGAAUGUGGCUCCUCUCGGGGAGUGUUAUAGCCCUUGGUGCAAUACGGCCCGCCUGGACUGAGGCCCGCGCUUCGGCUAGGAUGCUGGCGUAAUGGUCGUAAGCGGCCCGUCUUGAAACACGGACCAAGGAGUCUAACAUCUAUGCGAGUGUUUGGGUGUCAAACCCGUGCGCGAAAUGAAAGUGAACGGAGGUGGGAACCCUCGGGUGCACCAUCGACCGAUCCUGAUGUCUUCGGAUGGAUUUGAGUAAGAGCAUAGCUGUUGGGACCCGAAAGAUGGUGAACUAUGCCUGAAUAGGGUGAAGCCAGAGGAAACUCUGGUGGAGGCUCGCAGCGGUUCUGACGUGCAAAUCGAUCGUCAAAUUUGGGUAUAGGGGCGAAAGUAAGUUGACACUUAUUCCUUGUUUCUCCUGAUUUUGAGAUUGGUUUGGGUGAGAUGCAAAUGUUUGGUAUUGUCAACCGGGGCGACACCAAGGCAAGUGGCAUCCGGCGAGUAAAUGAAUAGGAAGGAAGGUAAAUCACGAUAGAUCACGUUCUGUCACUCAGGUGGUACUUAUAACUGUGAUCUGCCCGAUGCCUCCUAACAAGAGGCCCCUCGGCAGCGGGGAUUUCGAUUCCUGUGCAUCUAUAUCGAAAAAGCGGGCGCUUGCUGGAGACACUUAUUAUUCAUUUGCAUCUUGCCUCUACCAUUCUUAAUACCUCGGGAGCAUUAUUAUCUUCGCGGCAUAUGCUAACGGAUAUUUUUUU
rnacentral:rRNA from 1 species